rnacentral:rRNA from 1 species
GAUGAACGCUGGCGGCGUGCCUAAUACAUGCAAGUCGAGCGAACAGAUGAGGAGCUUGCUCCUCUGACGUUAGCGGCGGACGGGUGAGUAACACGUGGAUGACCUACCUAUAAGACUGGGAUAACUUCGGGGAACCGGAGCUAAUACCGGAUAAUAUAUUGAACCGCAUGGUUCAAUAGUGAAAGACGGUUUUGCUGUCACUUAUAGAUGGAUCCGCGCCGCAUUAGCUAGUUGGUAAGGUAACGGCUUACCAAGGCAACGAUGCGUAGCCGACCUGAGAGGGUGAUCGGCCACACUGGAACUGAGACACGGUCCAGACUCCUACGGGAGGCAGCAGUAGGGAAUCUUCCGCAAUGGGCGAAAGCCUGACGGAGCAACGCCGCGUGAGUGAUGAAGGUCUUCGGAUCGUAAAACUCUGUUAUUAGGGAAGAACAAAUGUGUAAGUAACUAUGCACGUCUUGACGGUACCUAAUCAGAAAGCCACGGCUAACUACGUG